UUUGCAGUUAGGGUGAACUCUCCUGCCUGGGAAAUUGGGCCUGUGUAUUCUGCCGGUUCUAACCGGUUCGGGAGAACUGGUAGCGGCGGUGGCGGGAGGCUUCACCCACCUGCCCGGACAUCAUCACUCUCGCUCUGCAUAUGCGCAGAAGGCAUGUGCUCACACUUGCGAACCGGUAGCGAAGGAGGUGAAACGUGGUUAAAAAAGGAGAGGCAAAAUAAUAAGUCUUCAUAUGAAUGUCCCACCUUUUCUGCUACACCUUAGAAAAAAUGCUAUGGAUGUCCUUGUCACCUGCAUUCAAGUGGACUUUUUGUUUUCUUUUAAUCAUUCAUGGAACCUCAUCAAGUUUAGUGGAAGAUCACAGAAGCCAUGAUAAAAAUACAUCCCAUGUUAAAGAAUUUUAUGAUGCAAAAUAGUGUUAACUGGUCCUCGGCCACUUCUGCCAAUUAAAGAUGUUGCUAUUAUAAGAAGAACAUCUGUAAUAUCUUUUGUCUCCAAAAUUUUCCCGUGGUUUUUAGAGUUACUUUUUUUGUUUCUGCGUGGUGUUAAAGUCCAGCCUUCAUUUCCUUUAACAGCUAGGGUUUAGAAUUGACUCUGAGCCUGAGGAGUUUUUUUCCUUUCCCCCAAUACAAUGACCAGUCAUUCUCCUCCGUCCUAAAGUUGUUGCCACUUUCCCCCUCAGCGUUGUCUUUUGUGAAGAAGAAUGAACCAGAGGCAGGCGCAAUAGAGACUUAAAACAUCGAUGCCACAACCAUAUAGGAAUAAAAGAAAUCAUGCUACAAUGGAAAAGAAUAGACAAAUGAAUCAAUAUGUGUAGUCAAAUGACCCACUUCCUGGUUAUUGUUGAUCCUGCCUGGAAAUCUUUCUUAAGGAUUCCCUGGAGUAUGUUUUACCUGGAGCUGCUGGGACACCUGAGACUUUCUACAGUCUCUGCAAUUAUGUCAAAGAGGAUCAUGAAAAAGAAAUUCCUAAGAAAUUGUGUCUAAAGCCUACCACUCUUAAAGAAUGAGAAGAGUGGAGAAAAUAGUUGAAGGAG